AUUUGGCUCGCCUUGAGUGUCUUUGAAGAAUCCAGUGGACAGUAUGUCAUCACUCAGACCCCAACCUCUUUACAGAAAAAUCCUGGAGACACAGCCACCUUUCAGUGCAAAGCUUCCUCUUCAGUCAGUUCUUAUAUGAACUUCUAUCAGAUGAGACCAGGAGAAAAACCCAAGCUCCUGAUUUAUUAUGCUACCAACCGUUUUGAACAGACCCCCGAUCGCUUCAGUGGCAGCGGGAGUGGCACUGACUUCACAUUCACUAUCAAUGGUGUCCGUCCUGAGGAUGAAGCAGAGUAUUACUGUGGCCAAAGCUGGAGCAGACCUUUACACAGCCAGGCCUCCACUUUUCGUGUCCAGAUCCAAAUAAGCCGUAUUUCUAAAGAUGAGGAGAUAAACAGUGCUAAAUUCCUGGUGUAA